AAUAAGCGGAGGAAAAGAAACUAACAAGGAUUCCCCUAGUAACGGCGAGUGAACCGGGAAGAGCUCAAAUUUGAAAUCUGGCGUGCUCAGUGCGUCCGAGUUGUAAUCUAUAGAGGCGUUUUCCGUGCCGGACUGUGUCUAAGUCCCUUGGAACAGGGUAUCAAAGAGGGUGAUAAUCCCGUACUUGACACAAUGACCGGUGCUCUGUGAUACGUCUUCUACGAGUCGAGUUGUUUGGGAAUGCAGCUCAAAAUGGGUGGUGAGUUCCAUCUAAAGCUAAAUAUUGGCGAGAGACCGAUAGCGAACAAGUACCGUGAGGGAAAGAUGAAAAGCACUUUGGAAAGAGAGUUAAACAGUACGUGAAAUUGUUGAAAGGGAAACGAUUGAAGUCAGUCGUGACUGAGAGGCUCAGCCGGUUCUGCCGGUGUAUUCCCCUCAGUCGGGUCAACAUCAGUUUUGUUCGGUGGAUAAGGGCAGCUGGAAGGUGGCACCUCCGGGUGUGUUAUAGCCAGCUGUCGCAUACAUCAAAUGAGACUGAGGAAUGCAGCUCGCCUUUAUGGCCGGGGUUCGCCCACGUCCGAGCUUAGGAUGUGACAUAAUGGCUUUAAACGACCCGUCUUG
rnacentral:rRNA from 1 species